rnacentral:rRNA from 1 species
AUUGAACGCUGGCGGCAGGCCUAACACAUGCAAGUCGAACGGAAACAGGAAACAGCUUGCUGUUUCGCUGACGAGUGGCGGACGGGUGAGUAAUGUCUGGGAAACUACCUGAUGGAGAGGGAUAACUACUGGAAACGGUAGCUAAUACCGCAUAACGUCGCAAGACCAAAGAGGGGGACCUUCGGGCCUCCUGCCAUCGGAUGUGCCCAGAUGGGAUUAGCUAGUAGGUGGGGUAACGGCUCACCUAGGCGACGAUCCCUAGCUGGUCUGAGAGGAUGACCAGCCACACUGGAACUGAGACACGGUCCAGACUCCUACGGGAGGCAGCAGUGGGGAAUAUUGCACAAUGGGCGCAAGCCUGAUGCAGCCAUGCCGCGUGUAUGAAGAAGGCCUUCGGGUUGUAAAGUACUUUCAGCGGGGAGGAAGGGAGUAAAGUUAAUACCUUUGCUCAUUGACGUUACCCGCAGAAGAAGCACCGGCUAACUCCGUGCCAGCCGCCGCAGUAA